rnacentral:rRNA from 1 species
UACAGAGGUCUCAAGCGUUGUUCGGAUUCAUUGGGCGUAAAGGGUGCGUAGGCGGCGCGGUAAGUCGGGUGUGAAAUCUCGGGGCUUAACUCCGAAACUGCAUUCGAUACUGCGGUGCUUGAGGACUGGAGAGGAGACUGGAAUUCAUGGUGUAGCAGUGAAAUGCGUAGAGAUCAUGAGGAAGACCAGUGGCGAAGGCGGGUCUCUGGGCCACUACUGACGCUGAGAAGCGAAAGCAUGGGGAGCGAACAGG